rnacentral:rRNA from 1 species
GAUGAACGCUGGCGGCGUGCCUAAUACAUGCAAGUCGAGCGAACAGAUCAGGAGCUUGCUCCUCUGACGUUAGCGGCGGACGGGAGAGUAACACGUGGAUAACCUACCUAUAAGACUGGGAUAAUUUCGGGAAACCGGAGCUAAUACCGGAUAAUAUAUUGAACCGCAUGGUUCAAUAGUGAAAGACGGUUUUGCUGUCACUUAUAGCUGGAUCCGCGCCGCAUUAGCUAGUUGGUAAGGUAACGGGUUACCAAGGCAACGAUGGGUAGCCGCCCUGAAAGGGUGAUCGGCCACCCUGGAACAGAGGCACGUUCCCGACACCUACGGGAGGAAGCAGUAGGGAAUCUUCCGCAAGGGGGGAAAGCCUGACGGAGCAACGCCGCGUGAGUGAUGAAGGUCUUCGGAUCGUAAAACUCUGUUAUUCGGGAAGAACAAAUGUGUAAGUAACCAUGCACGUCUUGACGGUACCUAAUCAGAAAGCCACGGCUAACUACGUG